rnacentral:rRNA from 1 species
UUCAGUGCUGCAGCUAACGCAUUAAGCACUCCGCCUGGGGAGUACGACCGCAAGGUUGAAACUCAAAGGAAUUGACGGGGGCCCGCACAAGCGGUGGAGCAUGUGGUUUAAUUCGAAGCAACGCGAAGAACCUUACCAGGUCUUGACAUCCUUUGACCACUCUAGAGAUAGAGCUUCCCCUUCGGGGGCAAAGUGACAGGUGGUGCAUGGUUGUCGUCAGCUCGUGUCGUGAGAUGUUGGGUUAAGUCCCGCAACGAGCGCAACCCUUAUUGUUAGUUGCCAUCAUUCAGUUGGGCACUCUAGCAAGACUGCCGGUGACAAACCGGAGGAAGGUGGGGAUGACGUCAAAUCAUCAUGCCCCUUAUGACCUGGGCUACACACGUGCUACAAUGGGAAGUACAACGAGUUGCGAAGUCGCGAGGCYAAGCUAAUCUCUUAAAGCUUYUCUCAGUUCGGAUUGCAGGCUGCAACUCGCCUGCAUGAAGCCGGAAUCGCUAGUAAUCGCGGAUCAGCACGCCGCGGUGAAUACGUUCCCGGGCCUUGUACACACCGCCCGUCACACCRYGAGAGUUUGUAACWYCCGAAGUCGG